UACGUAGGUGGCGAGCGUUGUCCGGAGUUACUGGGCGUAAAGAGUAUGUAGGCGGUUGCGUAAGUUCGGUGUGAAAUCUCCCGGCUUAACUGGGAGGGUGCGCCGAAAACUGCGUGGCUUGAGUGCGGGAGAGGAGAGCGGAAUUCCUGGUGUAGCGGUGAAAUGCGUAGAUAUCAGGAGGAACACCGGCGGUGUAGACGGCUCUCUGGACCGUAACUGACGCUGAGAUACGAAAGCGUGGGUAGCAAACAGG
rnacentral:rRNA from 1 species